UGGGGAAUUUUGGACAAUGGGCGAAAGCCUGAUCCAGCAAUGCCGCGUGUGUGAAGAAGGCCUUCGGGUUGUAAAGCACUUUUGUCCGGAAAGAAAUGGCUCUGGUUAAUACCUGGGGUCGAUGACGGUACCGGAAGAAUAAGGACCGGCUAACUACGUGCCAGCAGCCGCGGUAAUACGUAGGGUCCAAGCGUUAAUCGGAAUUACUGGGCGUAAAGCGUGCGCAGGCGGUUGUGCAAGACCGAUGUGAAAUCCCCGAGCUUAACUUGGGAAUUGCAUUGGUGACUGCACGGCUAGAGUGUGUCAGAGGGGGGUAGAAUUCCACGUGUANNGUGAAAUGCAGUAGAGAUGUGGAGGAAUACCGAUGGCGAAGGCAGCCCCCCUGGGAUAACACUGACGCUCAUGCACGAAAGCGUGGGGAGCAAACAGGAUUAGAUACCCUGGUAGUCCACGCCCUAAAACGAUGUCAACUAGUUGUUGGGGAUUCAUUUCCGUAGUAACGUAGCUAACGCGUGAAGUUGACCGCCUGGGGAGUACGGUCGCAAGAUUAAAAAGCUCAAAGGAAUUGACGGGGGUCAUAGCAUG
rnacentral:rRNA from 1 species